ensembl:lncRNA
CACAUGGAGGGAUUUAGUAUGGAGAAAUAAAUUCUCCUGCUACGUGGUGGCAUGCACUACAGGGUAUUUUUAGCCUUCCUGCUCAGUACCCAUAGGCAACAGCUGCAGUACUGAAGGUGAUGUGGAAAGAGCUGCAAAGAAGCUGCAUACAGGGGGCAGCCAGAAGUGCUCCUGGGUCUGAUCAGCUACUGUGGACUCUUUGUGCGAUGGGAAGUGGGCCUGCAGGAAAGCCUUGCCUACAGUGGUUAUGGUGAGUGUUUACAGGAGAAGUGAGCAUUGGGUCCAUUGGUUUCUGCAAAUUGCCUUGCUUCUCCAGAGAGAAAAGUCCUUGAAACCUAAGUCUUCCAAAUAGAAGUCACUGUUGGACCCAUGUUUGGAGGUAUUCCAGCCCUCAUGAAGGAUUGAAAGACACAGCAAAAACAGAGAAGGAGCAGGAGAGAGAAGUAGAGUGGAAAGAACUUCUCCUGGAAUGUACUGGACCAUUAAAUAUAAAGUGUCUUGGAUCUUCUUAAAUGCUGCAAAGCAGGUUAAGCUCUACACUCUACACAGCAAUUCACAACACCAAUCAUCUUUGACUGCCAAACCCUGCCGGAACAGUGAAAAAUCAUGGCACUUACAUUAAAUGUGAACAGUAACUUUUUCAAAGAGUGCAAAAUAAAUAAUUGUGGGAGAGAAUAGAUGAAUACAUAGGUAGAUGGAAGUCUCUAGAAUGGAGAAUUAGUUAUGAAUGUGGAUAAAGGAGCAUUGCUUUUACAGGUAACUACAAACAAUCUUGAAUUUAUACUCUCCACACCAACCUGGCUGACAGAGAAAACUUUUUCUCCAUUCUGCUUACUAAAAACUAACUAACAAACAACAACAAAAAUAGGUACCAAGCUGUCUUUUCUUUCUUCGUCUCUUCCUUUCUUUGUCUUUCUUUUAUUUAUUUUAAAUGUUUUAUUUAUGUUGUACAUAUUUAUUCAGGAACACAUAAAGCCUGCUUCCAUGUAGAGGCAAACCAAAUAAACUUACAUAAUCUAUAUAGUCUAAACCAAACAAAUACAUCUCUCUUCUAUGUUAAUAUAAUUAACAUUUCCUAUUAACCAGGACAGUAACGCAAACAGGCAAAACAUGAUGCAGGCUCUCUUGUAAAAAUAAAAUUAUAUUGUGGAAAAAUAUUGUGAAAAGUAGCCACAUACAAGAGAGAAGAGAAUAAAAUGCAAAAAGAAUGCAAAAAGUGAAUAUAAUGUUAUAUGCCCAAACACAUACUACAAAGAAUCAAAAACUCUCACUGCUAUCAGUGCGCAGCAAGAUUGCACAUGACUUUCUCAUAUUGGGGUUUGUAUUUAAAUGCAUCAGAACAUAAGCUUGCCUGAGAUCCAAGGAAUAUAUGAACUGGGAAGGGAGUUUUAUAUGAUGAAAGACAGGUAGGCUGAUGAUGGUUUAUUAAGAAGUGCUGGAAGCAGAAAGACAGGAGGAAUCUGGAAAAGGCCUCCACUUUAAAUCCUUCAGAGCCAAGGAAGCAGAGAAACACUGCCUUGGCUGGUGACAGCACAGCACUGGCAAUGCUGAGAAAGUCAAGUAGUCAUUCAUCACUGUGGCAUGGGAGAAGUUGCAUAAAGGAUCUGAAAAGCCCUCCAAAGCACCCUGAACCCAGGCAGUAAUUAUGUCAAGCCUUUGACCCACUGAAACCACUAUUAACCUCUCACAGAGGCACAAUUGUACAUCCAAACAUUUGCAACGUUAGUCAUGUUUAAACAGCUUCCAGUAAAGAUGACACAGGCCUAUAAGAGGAAUCUGCAUGUUCCCUCUGGAAUUGACAGGAUUCAUUCAAGUCUUUCUCCUCAGACUUGGCUGCCAAUUCUAUCUUUGCAAUUCUUAUCCCCUGUUUUCCUUGGGAACUUAAUACAUAAAAUAUUGUCCACAUAUUUUCUAUUAAAGGAAAUUUGGUUUGGUGAAGAUGGGUUGGCUUAUGUUAUGAAUUUCCUAAAUAGUUGAUUUAAAUUUAUAUAUUUACAAGCAUCUUAACCACACAAAUUAUUCUGGGGUAGAAAGGAAACACUCAGUUCUCAUCCUUUUCUUCUCAGGUACACCAAGUAAUAAGUGUCAUACUUAAUGCAUUACCAGUCCCAAAAGGUUUUCCAAUACACUGAAAUUCCCAUAUCUACAUGUUUGUGAUUGCCUUUCUUUGAUGUGAAUCCAUAUCACUUCUUUUCUCCAGCAUUUCUCUUAUGUGUUUCCAUGUUUACGCUGAAGGGAUACUGGUAGAAUAGAGUGGUCUUUGCUCACACUGGAAAUGUGGCAUCCUAGCAGGCCAGGUUCCUCUCUGAUUCUGAAAUUGCCUAAUGCCACUGAAAUCAAUAGAGUUAUCCUCAUUUGCAGCAGUGGGAGGCAGUGUCAGGGCCUUUCCUUCUCUGACAGUCUGCCACUGUGGCUGAAAGCCAGGAAGAAGUCUUAUCCCAUGUGCAGUGAACUAACACUGAUGCAGGACUAGUGAGCAGAGGGAUGAGCUGGAACCUGGACAGGAUGAAAAAAGAGAAUGAAACAGGAGGGAUCCCCUCUCACACACACACACAACAAAAAGUGACAAAAACGUUGUCAAUCGCUGGUAUGGCCAUCUUAAUUCUUAGCAACCAUAAACAUUGAAGCACACCAUUAGUAAAUCAAAGGUGGUGAUAAGGAUUAUAACAAGAUAAAUUUUUGAAAUCGAUAUUCUGUUAUUCCAGAAUAACUUCACUAUUUAACUGAGAUCAAUGGAAUUACCCUAGCAUAAAACAGAAAUAAGCUGGUGGUGAAUCUAGGCCUUCGGGUGUAAAACACAAGAACGGCAGUGUAGCAGAUGCCACGCACACAGCUUAACAGGAGCA